AGCUCAAUUGGAUACCUGCCUGCCGGCAGGCAGGGAGCGCUAGCCUUCGGAGCUAGGCGUUGCAGGUUCGACUCCUGCCAGGC
rnacentral:tRNA from 1 species